GGCUCCAUAGCGUAGUGGUUAGCACGGCUGCUUUACGCAGAAGGUCCUGGGUUCACAUCCCGGGUGGAGCCA
rnacentral:tRNA from 1 species